AUGGCUGAGCAUGUAAAUGACUACUAUAAACACAGAGUCACAGCCUUCCCUCAGGACAUAAUUAGAGGAAAUAUCAGCAUCAUACUCAAAAACCUGACCCUUGAAGAUAACGGAAGGACUUUCUGGGCUUUUGCGGCAGUCUUGGACGGCAGCGUGAUGAAGAGAUACCACCUGGAACACACACAGAUCUGCCAAGUAACUUUACAGAUAGGUGUUCCUUACCAGAAUCCCAUGCUAGAUGUUAAUAUGGAAACAAUGACUGCAGUGUGCACUACCCAAGGAGGAUUUCCUGCCCCUGAGAUACAAUGGGUCCUCCUCAAUAACAGCUCUCAUCAAUCAGUAGAGUCGAGGAACAUCCAGACUACAACGAUGCAGAAUUAUCACGAUCGCCUUUACAGCUUCCACAGCACUCUACCAAUCCCUGCAGGUCCUCACAAGGCUGUGAGGUGUCAUAUCCACAACCCGACUUUGAACAGGACAAUGACGGCCACCCAUACCUUAAACAAAGGUGCUGGAGUGAUGAGCUCCCCUGAAUGUCUGAUAUCUGCUGCUGUGUUUCUUCUAACAGCUCUACACUGGCUGUGAUCCACAGCAAAG
rnacentral:lncRNA from 1 species